GAUGUCUCUUAGUUUUUUGAUGUUGAUUUUUCAGUCCUCAAGAUGUCUUUUGAUUUUUUGAUGUUGACUUCUUCUUCAAAGAUUGAUUUCUUGGAACUUGGUUGGUCAUAAAUAAGAUUUUGAGAUCCUUGACUUGCCACUACAUCACUAUAAUAUCUAUAAAAAGAGCACAACAAUCCCAUCUUUAGAUUUGAAAGAUUAAUUUAUACAGAGCUUGUAAAACGGGCCA
rnacentral:lncRNA from 1 species